rnacentral:rRNA from 1 species
GAUGAACGCUGGCGGUAUGCUUAACACAUGCAAGUCGAACGGACUCUUCGGAGUUAGUGGCGGACGGGUGAGUAACGCGUGAGAAUCUGGCUUUGGGGUCGGGACAACCACUGGAAACGGUGGCUAAUACCGGAUGUGCCGAGAGGUAAAAGAGAAAUUGCCUGAAGAUGAGCUCGCGUCUGAUUAGCUAGUUGGUGAGGUAAAGGCUCACCAAGGCAGCGAUCAGUAGCUGGUCUGAGAGGAUGACCAGCCACACUGGGACUGAGACACGGCCCAGACUCCUCCGGGAGGCAGCAGGGGGGAAUUUUCCGCAAUGGGCGAAAGCCUGACGGAGCAAUACCGCGUGAGGGAAGAAGGCUCUUGGGUUGUAAACCUCUUUUCUUAGGGAAGAACAAAAUGACGGUACCUAAGGAAUCAGCAUCGGCUAACUCCGUG